rnacentral:tRNA from 1 species
GCAGGUAUAGUUUAAUAAAAAUAUUGGAUUGUGAUUCCAAGGACAGGAGUUCGAAUCUCCUUACCCGCC